AAUCUGCCCUUCACACUGGGAUACCCCCCGGAAACGGGUGCUAAUACCAGAUACAACCACUUCAGGCAUCUGAUGGUGGUGGAAAGUUCUGGCGGUGAAGGAUGAGCUCGCGGCCUAUCAGCUUGUUGGUGAGGUAAUGGCCCACCAAGGCUUCGACGGGUAGCCGGCCUGAGAGGGUGACCGGCCACACUGGGACUGAGACACGGCCCAGACUCCUACGGGAGGCAGCAGUGGGGAAUAUUGGACAAUGGGCGAAAGCCUGAUCCAGCAACGCCGCGUGAGGGAUGACGGCCUUCGGGUUGUAAACCUCUUUCAGCAGGGACGAAGCGAAAGUGACGGUACCUGCAGAAGAAGCACCGGCCAACUACGUGCCAGCAGCCGCGGUAAUACGUAGGGUGCGAGCGUUGUCCGGAAUUAUUGGGCGUAAAGGGCUCGUAGGCGGUUUGUCACGUCGGGAGUGAAAACUCAGGGCUUAACCCUGAGCCUGCUUCCGAUACGGGCAGACUAGAGGUAUGCAGGGGAGAACGGAAUUCCUGGUGUAGCGGUGAAAUGCGCAGAUAUCAGGAGGAACACCGGUGGCGAAGGCGGUUCUCUGGGCAUUACCUGACGCUGAGGAGCGAAAGUGUGGGGAGCGAACAGGAUUAGAUACCCUGGUAGUCCACACCGUAAACGUUGGGCGCUAGGUGUGGGACUCAUUCCACGAGUUCCGUGCCGCAGCUAACGCAUUAGGCGCCCCGCCUGGGGAGUACGGCCGCAAGGCUAAAACUCAAAGGAAUUGACGGAAUCGAAUU
rnacentral:rRNA from 1 species